UAGAUCAUUUACUUGUGUCUGGAGCCUUUA
rnacentral:piRNA from 1 species